UAUAAGUAUUCCCCGGUUAGAUAUAUCAAUUUGACCAAUUCUACCAUUUCUUUCAAACCUAGAAAACCACUAUUAACCAAACCCUACAAAUAUUCAUUCAAAGGCCGAAAACCUAUAAGCACCAAUGAUUUGGUAUUUUUAAAAGCAUAUGGAGCUCAAUUCGUUACUUGUGUAUCAACUAUUUGAUGCAUAUAAAACUUAAACAUCAGUAU
rnacentral:lncRNA from 1 species